CGAUAAUGUUUGGUGGCAAAAAAAAUUUUCCUACCACAUCCGAAGUUUUUGUGAUCAACUUGUUUCCUGGAUAAUAAACAUGGGCAGCAUAUGAACUUUUAAUGGAAAAAUAGUUAUUGUGAUGACUUAAAUUGUCUUUUUACCACGGAAUAAAGUCGUCACAAAAAAUUAUUUAAUUUAUACCCUCAUCUACGUGGCUUAUCUACUUUUUUCCACUACUAAAUACGUAAUUCCCACAAAUAUUACUCAUAGUAAAAAAGCUCUACAUAUUUUUAAAUAUAUUAACAUCGCCCAAAGCUACGCCGUUUGAGUGCAAUUGAAAUACUUUUUCCCCAAUUUGAAAUCAGACUUAAAAAUUUUCUAUCUCUCGAUACUUCUCUCCCGUGUUCCCUCUCUUCUCCUCAGGCCACAACCCAGUCGCCACCAUCACUGCAGCACCGUGCCACCAUCACCUCACAGACGGCUACCCCUCGCCGAGCCCAGCCUCCCAUGACGCCUCUCUCUCCCUGAUCUCCUCUUCCUCGAGACGAGCCAAGUUCCCUCUCGACUUCUCCACGUCGCUGUCGCAACCCGCAUACCCAAGCCCUAAAACAAAACGCAUUUACUUAUUCUCCUUCAGUGCCGCCCCACCCUCACCCAUUUCCUUUUUCCUUCUCUUUGCAAGCACACCAGUAGAUCAUCAUUUUUCUAGGGUUUCAUUCCAAGAGACAAAGCUCAGCCGCAAGGAAGCUGCCAGAUGCAGAAAUGGGUACUUGGGGAAGAAGCCCUAAUCUCUAUUGCUUCUUUACAUAUUUCCCAAAUGCCUAUUAUUAAGGACUUUGGUUUCUUGCUCUUCGAAGAACAUUUAUUCUGUUUCUAAUUUCCGUGUUAUUAUUGCAAUUUUGCUUGUUGAAAUGAACACAACAAGAAUCAAGGUCUUGUGUCUGUGAUGCUCUCUUAUGCUUUACCAUCUUUGCAAACAUUGAAAGUUCAUAUUUAAAUAGACAAUUUGUUUUGCUUUCUAUAUCAUACAAAGAGGUUGUAUCUAACACCCUAGUUUUGCAUUUACAGAGUAAUGAGGCUUAUAGGGAUUUCAAUUUUUCCGAUUGGUACAUGAUUGGGUGUUUGACUCUACAUCUUCUUUCUAUUGUUUCGUGUGACCAGCAUGAAGGUAUAAGUAUUUGUUACUUCCUUUUGUAGUCUGUUGCAUUGACAUGUGACAAAAAUGAUGGAUUUUUUUUGUGCUUUAAUAAGAUUUAAGGAUUUCGGAUUCUAAAGCUAAUAUCUUAACUUUAUUGGAUGUGGUUUGGGUGUCUAAUGGCAUAAAACUGUUAGGUGAGCUCUGUGUGUGUGUGUUAGGCUAACAUUUCAGGGGCACCCAGAUUACUUAUUUGUAUGCCAUAUUGCUCCUAUGCAAGAAGGGCACUGUAGGUCUGGAGAGGUAAGUUCUUUUUUAUCAAAUCCAUUGCAAAGUUAAAUAUUCAUGUAACUUUUGCGCUUUAAAGUUCCACUGUUAUAUAAUUUAUAAAAAAAAAAAAGGUUCCACUGUUAUAUAAUUGAUGUUUAAUUGCCUGCCAAGAACUACAACAGACAAAAUAAUGCAGAGUAGGCCAAAUGUGAUUAUACUUCAUUGUCCACUUUAAUGUAUGCAUGCUUCAUUGUCCACUCUGUAGCCCAGUACACUAAGGGAAAAGCAUCAUUAAAAUGUGAAAAAAAUUACAUGAUUCUAAUGAUUUCUUUAAUGAUUGACAAUAGGGGCAACCCCAAAGGCAAUACUGAAUCUGAUGGGCUCAGAUGGAUUGACCAUUUUACCACUAUAAAAAGUCAUCUACAGAUUAAUGAUGUAGCUGCAGUUAUAACAGACAAGAGUAAUGAGCAGUUUUUUUACUGAACUUAGCAAAGUCGUGGUCCAUGAAAGAGGGCAUCUCAAGGCAAUUUGGGUUCUGUUCUAGUUAUGGAUUAUAAGAAAGC